UUCACAAAAUACAAAAUCCAUGUCUACAGACUACAAUUCAAACUCACGAUUCACGGCUUCAGUUCAUGAACUUCAAGGAUCGGCGUCCGGCGAAGCAACAAACGUCGGCUAUUGAUGAUGAUGAUGCGGACGAUGACGAUGAUGACGACCACAACGUCACAGCCGCGAUUACGAUUGGCAAAGGUGGACAAACGGCGGCCAAAUGGAGGUUGAUGGUGCUGGUGAACAUGAACACAACGAAGAUAUGACGAGUGACGAUGAUGAUUUGAUGAAGAGAAGAGCAUGAUUUGUGAAGAGAAGAGAAGAGAAGAGUUGAAGGAGGAAAAGAAUGAGAAGAGAAGAGAAGAAUGAAGGUGGCGGCUAGGUUGUGAAAGUGUGAAAUUAGGGCAUUUCUCUUUUUUUUUUUUCUAUUUAUAUUAAAAAAAUAAUUUUAAAUUAAAGAUAUCUGGGUCCGGGUUUCGGAUAUACGGGUUCAUCCGAACCCGGAACCGGACCCGGAUACAUCCGGGU
rnacentral:lncRNA from 1 species